CGCCGAAACGGUCCCAGCCGGGGCCGUCCACUGGAACCGCCCCACCGGUGCUGAUGAUGGCAGGGCAGG
rnacentral:hammerhead_ribozyme from 1 species